UGAAACACCAGUUCCUGUACAAUAACUGAAGUUAAGCAACAUUGAGCCUCAUCAGUACCUGGAUGGGUGACCACUUGAGAAUACCAGAUGCUAU